GCGCCGAUAGUCUAGCCUGGCGCCUUCACUUCGCAAGAAGGACUUGCGGGCACUAGGACACGGGCUUCCCAAGCCUGUAACCCGGGUUCAAAUCCCGGUCGGCGCA
rnacentral:tRNA from 1 species